AGCGAACGCUGGCGGCAGGCCUAACACAUGCAAGUCAAGCGCCCCGCAAGGGUAGCGGCAGACGGGAGAGUAACACGUGGGAACGUACCCUUUGGUUCGGAACAACCCAGGGAAACUUGGGCUAAUACCGGAUAAGCCCUUACGGGGAAAGAUUCAUCGCCGAAGGAUCGGCCCGCGUCUGAUUAGCUAGUUGGUGGGGUAACGGCCCACCAAGGCGACGAUCAGUAGCUGGUCUGAGAGGAUGAACAGCCGCACUGGGACUGAGACACGGCCCAGACUCCUACGGGAGGCAGCAGUGGUGAAUAUUGGACAAUGGGCGCAAGCCUGAUCCAGCCAUGCCGCGUGGGUGAUGAAGGCCCUAGGGUUGUAAAGCCCUUUCGGCGGGGAAGAUAAUGACGGUACCCGCAGAAGAAGCCCCGGCUAACUUCGUGCCAGCCGCCGCCGUAA
rnacentral:rRNA from 1 species